AGAGUUUGAUCCUGGCUCAGAUUGAACGCUGGCGGCAUGCCUUACACAUGCAAGUCGAACGGCAGCACGGACUUCGGUCUGGUGGCGAGUGGCGAACGGGUGAGUAAUAUAUCGGAACGUACCCUGGAGUGGGGGAUAACGCAGCGAAAGUUGCGCUAAUACCGCAUACGAUCUACGGAUGAAAGUGGGGGCUCGCAAGACCUCAUGCUCGUGGAGCGGCCGAUAUCUGAUUAGCUAGUUGGUAGGGUAAAAGCCUACCAAGGCAUCGAUCAGUAGCUGGUCUGAGAGGACGACCAGCCACACUGGGACUGAGACACGGCCCAGACUCCUACGGGAGGCAGCAGUGGGGAAUUUUGGACAAUGGGGGCAACCCUGAUCCAGCAAUGCCGCGUGAGUGAAGAAGGCCUUCGGGUUGUAAAGCUCUUUUGUCAGGGAAGAAACGGUGAAG
rnacentral:rRNA from 1 species